UUUUUUUUUUUUUUUUUUUUUGAGACGGAGUCUCGCUCUGUCGCCCAGGCUGGAGUGCAGUGGCGCGAUCUCGGCUCACUGCAAGCUCCGCCUCCCGGGUUCAUGCCAUUCUCCUGCCUCAGCCUCCCGAGUAGCGAGUAGCUGGGACUACAGGCGCCCACAACCGCGCCCGGCUAAUUUUUUGUAUUUUUAGUAGAGACGGGGUUUCACCGUGGUCUCGAUCUCCUGACCUUGUGAUCCGCCCGCCUCGGCCUCCCAAAGUGCUGGGAUUACAGGCGUGAGCCACCGCGCCCGGCUAUUUAUCUAAUUUUUAAACUGUAUAUCUAUAUAAAAGAUGAAUUCUCACUGUGGUGCCCAGGCUGGUCUUGAACUCUUGGCCUCAAAAAAUCCUCCAGCAUCCGCUUCCCAAAGGCUGCAUAAGCCCGGGAGUUCAAGACCACCCUGGGUAGUAUAGCAAGACUCCAUCUCAGAAAGAAAAUUUUUUAAUGAAAAUGUUGUCCAAAUUUAGAUGUGCUAUAAACAUAAAAUACAUCUGGAUUUCAAAAAUGUAGUGUGAAAAAAGAAGGUAAAAUAUCUCACAAUUAUUUUGUAUUGAUUGCAUGGAUAUAUUGGGCUAAAUAAAAAAUACAUAUAUUUUUUGAGAUGGAGUUUCACGCUUGUUGCCUAGGCUGGAGUGCAAUGGCAUGAUCUCGGCUCACUGCAACCUCUGCCUCCCACGUUCAAGCGAUUCUCCUUCCUCAGCCUCCUGAGUAGCUGGGAUUACAGGCGUGUGCCACCACGCCCGGCUAAUUUUGUAGUUUUAGUAGAGACGGGAUUUCUCCAUGUUGGUCAGGCUGGUCUCAAACUCCUGACCUCAGGUGAUCUGCCCGCCUCAGCCUCCCAAAGUGCUGGGAUUACAGGUGUGAGCCACCACACCUGGCCUAAUAAAAAAUAUUAAAAUUGACAUCUCUUAAUUCUUUUUGCUUUUAUGUGUAGCUUACUAGAAAAUUUAAAUUUAUGGCUUGCAUAAUGUGGCUUGCAUUAUAUUUCCACUGUCCACUGCUGCUUAAGGCACUGCUUUCUGGCUUGUAACAUCACAGAGAGAGACAAGCAGACACUACGUGCCUCCCUCCUGAAUGCAUUACCUGGGAAGCAGUGUGGGGGAAAAUAAAAUCAAACUUGAAUCUGAAUCUGAUUAAGUCUUGAGAUCCAGUUAUUAGGUUGAUCCAUGUAAACUUCUGUUUUUGUAGGUCAAAAAUGGUCAAAUAUCAGCAUAUAUAUGUAUAUCUUAAUUACAUAUUUCGUGACAGCGUCUCGCUCUGUCGCCCAGGCUGGAGUGCAGUGAUGCAAUCUCAGCUCACUGCAACCUCUGCUUUCCGGGUUCAGCGAUGCUUGUGCCUCAGCCUCCCAAAUAACUGGUAUUAGAGGCACCUGCGCCACCAUGCCCAGCUAAUUUUGUAUUUUUAGUAGAGGUGAGAUUUCACCAUGUUGACCAGGCUGCUCUAGAACUCCUGGCCUCAAGUGAUCCACCCACUUUGGCCUCCCAAAGUGCUGGGAUUACAGGCAUGAGCCACUGCUCCUGGCCAGAUUAAAAGAUAUUUUUAAAGAGAGCUAAAAUGGAAAAGAAAUUUCAGAAGUGACUGUCCUAAGUAUCAAGACAGAUGUUCCUCUCAGAGUGUGCUGUGAGGUUGUGUUUGGAGGGGGCAGGUGGAAAGCACUUGGGAUGGCUGUGAGGUUCUCUUUGCUUUCAUGGGGGUGACUGGAGUAACUCAC
ensembl:lncRNA